UUUUCCCCCCCCCCCCCUGAAUGCAGGAAUAAAGGACAAGUAUCGUUCAUUGCUGAAAUUUUUUUCAUCAUGUAUCAGUCAUCUCAUAUCUAUUGUAUGCAUUGGAAGCACUUUGCAGGGGUGAUUUGAGUUGCCAACUCGCCUUUCAGUGGCUGCUGCUGAUUGCAUUUUAGCUCUCACUGAGGCAUUGACAAAAAAGGAUCUAGUGUCUGACGGAUCAGAUGAUAGGCUGAAACCAUCUAAUCCAAAUUUAUCAUUCCUGCCAAUUACUUCGGCACCUGCUGCUUUCGUUGAGAAGAAAGUGAAACCAACUAGUAGAUCUCCUGAUGUGUUAAACAACAUGGAGAUGAAGUUGUUGCUUUGGGAUCAUUUAGAUGAACUUAUUAUUCUUGUGCAGAGACUCGAUGCUUGGAGCAGAAAAAGCCGUUCUUUACAUGCAUACGGGUUGGAGAAAGUGCUUAAGUGGUUGCAAGGCACAAAAGGGCAUUAUGUGCACAUUCAAACUGAGGCUGGCAGGUUCACAAAUGCACAAGACUGGAGUUUUGCUUCUCUCUUCUCGUUGGAAACAUUAUGGCAUGUUGAUGCACUUGGAAGACUACAAAUUUUAUCAGCAUUACAAAGAAUUGGUGGACCAGUACCUGUCUGGG